GACGAACGCUGGCGGCGUGCUUAACACAUGCAAGUCGAGCGGUAAGGCCCUUUCGGGGGUACACGAGCGGCGAACGGGUGAGUAACACGUGGGUGACCUGCCCUCAGCUCUGGGAUAAGCCUGGGAAACUGGGUCUAAUACUGGAUAUGACUCCACGGUGCAUGUCGUGGGGUGGAAAGCCUUGUGCGGCUGAGGAUGGGCCCGCGGCCUAUCAGCUUGUUGGUGGGGUGANGGCCUACCAAGGCGACGACGGGUAGCCGGCCUGAGAGGGCGACCGGCCACACUGGGACUGAGACACGGCCCAGACUCCUACGGGAGGCAGCAGUGGGGAAUCUUGCGCAAUGGGCGAAAGCCUGACGCAGCGACGCCGCGUGAGGGAUGACGGCCUCGGUUGUAACUAC
rnacentral:rRNA from 1 species